CCUACGGGCGGCAGCAGUGAGGAAUAUUGGUCAAUGGACGAGAGUCUGAACCAGCCAAGUAGCGUGAAGGAUGACUGCCCUAUGGGUUGUAAACUUCUUUUAUAUGGGAAUAAAACGUUCCACGUGUGGGAUUUUGUAUGUACCAUAUGAAUAAGGAUCGGCUAACUCCGUGCCAGCAGCCGCGGUAAUACGGAGGAUCCGAGCGUUAUCAGGAUUUAUUGGGUUUAAAGGGAGCGUAGGUGGAUUGUUAAGUCAGUUGUGAAAGUUUGCGGCUCAACCGUAAAAUUGCAGUUGAAACUGGCAGUCUUGAGUACAGUAGAGGUGGGCGGAAUUCGUGGUGUAGCGGUGAAAUGCUUAGAUAUCACGAAGAACUCCGAUUGCGAAGGCAGUUCACUGGACUGCAACUGACACUGAGGCUCGAAAGUGUGGGUAUCAAACAGGAUUAGAUACCCUUGUAGUC
rnacentral:rRNA from 1 species